GGAGGCUCGUUCCCCACGUGACCACGUACGCGCCGUGACGUAAAGCAUGUGACAAACCCCACGUGACCUUGACGCACGUGACCCUCUUCACGCUCUCCACAGCUCCCUCCUCCUCUCCUUUUGCGCACUUGCCGAGCGUUAUAAAAACGAGCGAACCUCCACUGCUCAGUCGAAUUACGCUUCUCUGCGUGCAAGUGCCUCAUCCUCCGAUCGAGAUCGUUCGGCUCUUCUCUUGGGACUUUCGGACCCCGCCCCAUCAACAGCGAACAUGUCCAGCUCCGGAGACGUCUGCUGCGAAGGCAAGCCCGAGUGCUGCAACGAGACCAGCGAGGUGAAGAACGACGCCGAGCCCAAGGCCGAGGCAGCCGCCACCGAGGUGCCCGAGGCGGCGCCGGCUCCGGCCGGCGGCGAGAGCGCCGCACCGGCCGACGCCGCGCCGCAGGACGGCGCCAGCUCGUAGCCGCCCGCCGUCGGGAAACCUGCCGCCGCCACCGGCGCGCUGCCCGCCUCUGCCGCCUCUUCGCCGCUGCUUCGCAUUUCUCGCCGCUGCUGCUGCUGAGUGGACUCCCGCCGGCAACCGCCUCGUCGACGACCGAUCAUCGAGACCGCCGCAGGUCCUGCCGUUUCGUCUUUUCUGGUCACCUGAAACUCUCCGCCUUGCCAUACCUGAAGUAUUGAACCGGACUCUGGCGGGUCGACCGAGAUUCUUCACCGUCAAGGAAGAUGCGAGGCGGAAGCCCCGGAGGCUGUGAUUCUGCCUGCAAAGGCGCCAUCCUCCUGCUUCCUUCGCGUCUUCCAGUUAAUCGAGCCAAGUUUACCCUACCGAAAUAAGCGAGCCCUCACACCACGAUCAAUCCACCCGUAUGGAACUUUUUUUUUUUGCAUGCCGAAAUCGGCACUCUCGAGGACAGCAAGCGGUCAGCUACCAACUUGUACUGGCCGCAGGCGACCAAGACCAUCCAUGGAUUCGCCUGGCCACUCGUCGACGUGAUUUUGCUCCGAUUGUCACCGGAAAGGUUGACUCGGUGGGGGAGAAGGUGAACAACCACGAUACUAAAAGCAGCAGGCGGGAGUUGCGGAGCGGCGCAAAUGCGAGUCAGAGUUGAAGAUUCCUAUAAGAUAAAAAAAAGUGAAACGAAAACGCGCGGAGCGCCAACUUAUCCUAUAUGCUAUAUAUUUAUGUAAUGAAAGCACUCAGCUCGUGUAUACACACGCUGGCAACAAAAAAUGAAAAAAAAAUAAUAAAAAAGAAAGAAAAGAGAAGAUAGAGCCGGUGCGCCCUCUUCUUUUUUGUACAUUUCUGAGAAUAAAAGAAAAUAAACCACAAAA
rnacentral:lncRNA from 1 species